GAAACAACAAAAUUGGGAAAGCGGGUUAAAGACGUUCUUUACUCGACUUUUAAGCCCAUCAUCCCCACACAAAGGGGAGCUCACAGUCUAACAGUAGACAGAUAAGUAAGGAAAUCGACGAUCCCGUGGACGGGGGCCAUCAGAGACCGUGUGGGACGCAAAGAAAUACUCCGCAGAGCUCAUUCGCUGAUUGGCUCACCCAGUGUCUGAGCAUUGGUGCUCUGUCAGCUGCUCUGCAGCCGAUGGGAGCAGGGCAGUGAACAAGACACCGGUUCCAGCUCUUGUCAAUCAAGAAGAUCCCUCCAGGUCCUGUGAGGAGAAGCGACACAGGGUGGCAGGCUGGGAAGGGGGACCAGUUAAAAGACUACAAGGACCCUCUGGGGUUCCAGUGGAAUCAUGAGCAGAAGCUAGAAAGAGGAGGAUCCGGAGUGCAUGGGAGACUGGUAAAU